rnacentral:tRNA from 1 species
GCCGGGGUGGCGGAAUUGGUAGACGCACAGGACUUAAAAUCCUGUGGGUAUUUAUACCCGUGCCGGUUCGAGCCCGGCCCUCGGUA